GGAUGUGAGGGCGAUCUGGCUGCGACAUCUGUCACCCCAUUGAUCGCCAGGGUUGAUUCGACUGAUCUGGCUGGCUAGGCGGGUGUCCCCUUCCUCCCUCACCACUCCAUGUGCGUCCCUCCUGAAGCUGCGCACUCGGUGGAAGAGGACGACCAUCCCAGAUAGAAGGAGUGUACCGUUCUUCGGUCAAGGGUAUACGAUAGCUGCGCUCCCCUGCUAGAACCUCCAAACAAGCUCACAAUGUCCAACAUAUUGCCACAGCUCUUACUUGGUCUCUGUCUCAAAGACAUGACAGUGAUA